AUGCAUGAUGUGAAAUUUGGCUACAGAUGGAACAUAGGGGAUGGGAGCAGAACCAGGUUCUGGGAAGAUACUUGGUUUGGCACAUCCCCCCUAGCAGUCCAAUUUUGGCAUAUUUACUCUGUCCGCAAUGAGCUUAACAAAAGUUUUAAUGAAGUUUGGGACGGUCAAUGCCUAAAACUCUCUUUUAGAAGAAACUUUAGUGAUAGUCUCAUGGAACAAUGGUUCUAG
rnacentral:rRNA from 1 species